rnacentral:rRNA from 1 species
AUUGAACGCUGGCGGCAGGCCUAACACAUGCAAGUCGAGCGAGCGGCGGACGGGUGAGUAAUGCCUGGGAAACUGCCUGAUGGAGGGGGAUAACUUCUGGAAACGGUAGCUAAUACCGCAUUUCAUCAGCUGUGCACAGGGGUUAUUAGCUAGUAGGUAUGGUAACGGCUCACCUAGGCUACGAUCCCUAGCUGGUCUGAGAGGGUGACCAGCCACACUGGAACGGAGACACGGUCCAGACUCCUACGGGAGGCAGCAGUGGGGAAUAUUGCACAAUGGGCGCAAGCCUAAUGCAGCCAUGCCGCGUGUGUGAUGAAGGCCUUCGGGUUGUAAAUCUCUGUCAGUGGGGAAGCGUUACCCGCAGAAGAAGCACCGGCUAACUCCGUGCCAGCAGCCGCGGUAAUUC